CGCAUCUUGGAGUAGAGGCUUGAGUUUUCCGGCUCUUUCAGUCGGGAGAGGACGGAGAACUGGCCCAACAGUUCCAAGGUGCCAGGUGCGC
rnacentral:tRNA from 1 species